rnacentral:lncRNA from 1 species
UUUAAUAAUUUUUAUAUACUGCUUAAUAUGCUAAACCAUAUUAAAGAGGUUUAACCCUAUUAUAUUCCGCAGAACUAUUUCAAAUCCUAGGAUGUCAUAUUCUCUCCCUCCUUAAGUCCUAAUGUCAUAUUCAAGCACACUCACAAAAAAGACUCGUCCCACUGAGAGCUACACUCUAUCCACAAUAAUGAUUAAGCCGAGACUUAUCCUACACUUUCGGCUGGUGAUUCGGUUUGAUACUAAUUGUGACGCUCUACUUUCUAAAGAGUCACUCAUCUUAGAGAUAAAGUUUGCCUACAACACUAUCAUUAGCAUUAGGUACUUGGUGCUACCAAAUUUCCUGCCAUUACAUAUUUCAUUUUUACCAUUUAGAUCAUACUAUUCCAUCAAUUAAGCACUAAAUCUGAGAAAAUCACUAUCAUUCUAACAACACAUCUCUUUAUCAAAAGGCCGAAAAUCUAAUAGCACCAAUAACUUUGUACUAUUAAUAAUAUUUGAUUCUUGUGACAUUAUUUAUUAUGUAAAAAGUUUUAAAAAUAAUAAAAUAAAAUAAAAUAUUUUUAAAAAAUAAUAUAAUAUAAAAAUUAAAAUGAUCAAUAAAAUAUAUAUAGUAUAGUACAGUGUAAUAAUUAAGCUUUGUAUAUUUUAGCCAUAAAUUACUUUAACUACCUCUUUUAUAGUUUUACACUUUCUUACUUUAGUAUCAUGUGGUUUAAAGUAUAUCAAUUUAGUGUAUUAUGAUUUUAUUUUUAUCUUUUUAUUAUUGAUUCCACUAUUUUUUUCAUUAAAUUAGUGAUAAAGUUAAAAGUAAAGGGUAUUAACAUGAAUAUUCAAUAAACCUAGGUGGGUGGGUAUCUGAAGUUUUUUUAUAUAUAAUUUAACAAAAUAUUAACGAAAAAGCUAACGAAAAGAUGAAAAUAAAACCACACGGCACUAACUUAAUACGCUUUAAACAAUAAAGUGAGAAAGUGCGAAACCUUUAGGGUGAUAUUUAAAUUUUACCCA